UGGCGGACGGGUGAGUAACGCGUGGGUAACCUGCCUUACACAGGGGGAUAACACCUGGAAACAGGUGCUAAUACCGCAUAAGCGCACAGGGCCGCAUGGCCCGGUGUGAAAAACUCCGGUGGUGUAAGAUGGACCCGCGUCUGAUUAGCUUGUUGGCGGGGUAGGGGCCCACCAAGGCGACGAUCAGUAGCCGGCCUGAGAGGGUGGACGGCCACAUUGGGACUGAGACACGGCCCAGACUCCUACGGAAGGCAGCAG
rnacentral:rRNA from 1 species